UGCAACUCGAAUGGCAGAGUGUCUCGAUGGGU
rnacentral:piRNA from 1 species